rnacentral:rRNA from 1 species
UGGGGAAUAUUGCACAAUGGGCGAAAGCCUGAUGCAGCAACGCCGCGUGGGGGAUGACGGCCUUCGGGUUGUAAACCUCUUUUGGUAGGGAAGAAGCCGCAAGGUGACGGUACCUGCAGAAAAAGGACCGGCUAACUACGUGCCAGCAGCCGCGGUAAUACGUAGGGUCCGAGCGUUGUCCGGAAUUAUUGGGCGUAAAGAGCUCGUAGGCGGUUCGUCGCGUCUGCCGUGAAAUCCUCAGGCUCAACCUGAGGCGUGCGGUGGGUACGGGCGAGCUAGAGUGCGGUAGGGGAGAAUGGAACUCCUGGUGUAGCGGUGGAAUGCGCAGAUAUCAGGAAGAACACCGAUGGCGAAGGCAGUUCUCU